GGCCGAUGAUGCAGUACCAGUCACUUCAACAAUCGUCUCCUUGAUUUCUUCCACCGUCUUAGCACUAUCCUCCUCCUUCGCUGCUACCUUCUCGGUCACUUUCUCCGCCGGAGCUGCAGGUUCACCUUCUUUCUUCUCUUCCACCACAGGUGCAGCUUCUUUCUUCUCUUCCACCACAGGUUCAGCUUCUUUCUUCUCUUCCACCACAGGUUCAGCUUCUUUCUUCACUUCCACCACAGGUACAGCUUCUUUCUUCUCAACAGGUUCAGCUUCUUUCUUCGAUUCCACCACAGGUACAGUUUCUUUCUUCUCCUCCACCACAGGUUCAGCUUCUUUCUUCUCUUCCACCACAAGUGCAGUUUCUUUCUUCUCUUCGACCACAGGUGCAGUGAAUUCAUGUUUGUUCAGAGCAUCUCGAACCAAUUCCUUCAACUCAGCUAAAGCCUUCUGUUCAGGAUUUGGUAAUUCUUCAACUUUGUUGCUCUCUUCCUUAAACGAUGAAGCUGAUUCAAUAACUGGAGUUGAUUUCCCC
rnacentral:lncRNA from 1 species